rnacentral:rRNA from 1 species
UUUCGCAAUGCCCGAAAGGGUGACGAAGCGACGCCGCGUGAGUGAGGAAGGCCUUCGGGUUGUAAAGCUCUGUCAGGAGUUAAGAAAUAUAAGUGUGCUAAUACCACAUUUAUUUGACGAAGGCUCCAAAGGAAGCCACGGCUAACUCUGUGCCAGCAGCCGCGGUAAUACAGAGGUGGCAAGCGUUGUUCGGAAUUAUUGGGCGUAAAGAGCACGUAGGUGGGUUUGUAAGUCAGAUGUGAAAGCCUUCUGUUCAACGGAAGAAUUGCAUCUGAAACUGCGAGUCUUGAGUGUAGGAGGGGAGAGUGGAACUUCUGGUGGAGCGGUGAAAUGCGUAGAUAUCAGAAGGAACGCCGGCGGCGAAAGCGAUUCUCUGGCCUAUUACUGACACUCAGUGUGCGAAAGCUAGGGGAGCAAACGGGAUUAGAUACCCCGGUAGUCCUAGCCGUAAACGAUGGGCACUAAGUAGAGGGGUUUUA